UACGUAGGGGGCAAGCGUUGUCCGGAAUCAUUGGGCGUAAAGCGCGCGUAGGCGGCCAGAUUAGUCCGGUGUGAAAGUCAGAGGCUCAACCUUUGAAUGCCGCUGGAAACUGUCUGGCUUGAGUCCGGAAGGGGCGAGUGGAAUUCCUGGUGUAGCGGUGAAAUGCGCAGAUAUCAGGAGGAACACCAAUGGCGAAGGCGGGUCUCUGGGCAGUAACUGACGCUGAGGAGCGAAAGCGUGGGGAGCGAACAGG
rnacentral:rRNA from 1 species